AGCAGCCGCGGUAAUUCCAGCUCCAAUAGCGUAUAUUAAAGUUGUUGCAGUUAAAAAGCUCGUAGUUGAAUUUCGGGGUCAGUAGGUUGGUCAUGCCUCUGGUAUGUACUGGCCUCACUGAUUCCUCCUUCCUGAUGAGCCAUAAUGCCAUUAAUUUGGUGUUGCGGGGAAUCUGGACUGUUACUUUGAAAAAAUUAGAGUGUUUAAAGCAGGCUAACGCUUGAAUACAUUAGCAUGGAAUAAUGAAAUAGGACGUUCGAUCUUAUUUUGUUGGUUUCUAAGAUUGACGUAAUGAUUAAUAGGGAUAGUUGGGGGCAUUAGUAUUCAAUUGUCAGAGGUGAAAUUCUUGGAUUUAUUGAAGACUAACUACUGCGAAAGCAUUUGCCAAGGAUGUUUUCAUUAAUCAAGAACGAAAGUUAGGGGAUCGAAGACGAUCAGAUACCGUCGUAGUCUUAACCAUAAAACUAUGCCGACUAGGAAUCGGAUGAUGUUAAUUUUAUAAUGACUCU
rnacentral:rRNA from 1 species